CAGCUAAUACGCGUAAGGUCACUUUGACGGAUGGUGCGAUAUAUGGACUCUCACUGCCAGCAACUAAUCCCUCCCUUUGCUCAUCCUCUUUCUUUUCUCUGCUUCAACUUCAUAUUUCUUUCUAUCUCACAGCAAUUAAUCUGCUUCCAUUUCCCUGUGCUCAUCCUCUUUCUGUCUCUACUUCAUUUUUAGAUUUGUUUUUAUUUCAACUUCACUGAUUUUGCUGUCACUUUCGAUAUCAUCGGCUAAUCGAAGGUCUUUGCGUAGAAAAUCUGGUUCACUGACUUUCCUCCCAAGGUUUUAUUACCAAUACAGCAUCAAACGUUUUCGGAAUAGUCGAGGAAACAGUUGCGGAGACUUUAAGGUAAUAUUUGAUACUAAAAACAACCCUUGUUUCGGCUUUUACGACCUUAGCAAAGUUCAACAACUCAAUAUUGUCCUCUUGCAAUAUCUGCUGGUUGAGUUCAACUUCUAUGAUGCUGCCAGCUCAACAACUGCAUCUCUCAUCUCUUGUUCAUAUCCAAUGUGUGCUUCGACUGAGUGCUGGCUAUUAUGUGUCAGAUUUAUUAUAUUUUGAUACAGUCCCCGCGACCUCACUGAUUGCCAACUCUUCAACACAAAAAUCCAACUGAAAUUUUGUACCUAUUUCAAUUCUAUGAUGUUAAAAGCUAUAUUGUGGUAAUAAACAACAAAUGUAUGUUUCAGCAGAAUAUCCAAAAAGCUUGAAAACCACCAGACAAUAAUAAUGACAGAAACACGAAUUGUAAGUAUCAAUUCCAACAAAAAAUAAGUAAUAAAUUUUCUUCUCUCUUUUUUGGUUUCUAAUUGAGCAAAUACCACCGUGUUUUCCUUCUCAUUACUUUUAUCUUUUGCUUUGCAGAUUCAUGAAAUCCAUCCAAGAAGUCGGUCAGGGAGAAUCAGUGAAAUUGUCAAGAUAAAGUGAUAUGAAUAGGCAUCUCAUAUGAGCAGCUUAUGCAGUAGAACAACAUGAACUGGUAGAAGAGUUUUGUAGACAGAGUUGAGCAGUAUGAAAGUUUAAAAUACAGCUUAAGGAUGCUUUCCACACAAUUGAAGUGCAAGGACUGCUUCAGUAAAAAAAAAGAAAAAAAGAAACAACAUCCAUAAAAUGGAUGAUCAAGUGAAAUAUUACUUUGAUACAUAUAUUCUUUAUAAUUAACUCAAUUUAUUUGUGACUACCGCAACAAAUAAAGACAACUUUAGAAUUGUUGGGCCCAUGCUCAGCAUGGCCAUGAUUGUCUAGUACUUACUAAUAAGCGGUUAAGUUCUAUGGCACCUUGAAGGUGCAAAUGUUAUUUGUACAAUCAGAUCACUUAAAGGCAAUUACAAUUUACUCUAUUUAAUAGAA